CCUAUAACUCAGCACGCAGACUCUCUCUAUGAUCUUUCAACGCCGAUAACUCUCUUCAACCAAAGGACCUAAACCUUCGAUCUCUCUGACCCUGCUUUCACACCCAAACACAACAAUGGCGUGAACACUCUUAUUAUCUACGUUUUUUUGUGUCUUCUGCUAUCAUCGAUGUUUAGAUCCUUUCAGUUGCUGUCGUUUCUGAAAAACCAAAGGCAGGGUAUUUAACGCAAGCAACAACGACCAAAGGACCUAAACCUUCAAUCUCUCUGACCCUGCUUUCACACCUAAACACAACAGUGGCGUGAACACUCUUAUUAUCUACGCCUUUGUCUUAAAACUUUCUUAGGAAAGUUUUAUUUUUCAUCACAAGUUUUUUUUUUUUUUUUUUUUUUUUUUGUGUCUUCUGCUAUCAUCGAUGUUUAGAUCCUUUCAGUUGCUGUCCUUUCUGAAAAACCAAAGGCAGGGUAUAUAAUGCAAGGAGAAAGAUGGUUUUCGAUUGGCCACGAACUGGAGGAAUUAUACUACUCACCAGUGGCAUGGAAUCUCUUAAUUUGUCAUAUUUAUUCCAUUGAUUCUUUUUGUAACAAAAAGGAAUAUCAUAUCAAGCCAGCUUUAGCUUACAAUUUAUAUAUAUAUAUAUAUAACAAUAUAACCUUAGUGCACAAAGUUCAAGGCCCUAAAGGUAUGAAGUUAGAGGUUGAUUUUAACUUUGUACUAGGGUUGAACAAAGCACCCUAAUUUCUCAUAUUGGUGUAAUGAUUUAAGAGAUUUGAACUUUUUAUAGGGAUUUGAACUUAUAUAAAUACUCCUAUAUUAUUUAACAUUCUUCAAGAAAACAAAAAAAGGAAACACAAUAUAUCUUUAGAUUUGAGUUUUAGUAGUUUUCCCGUACAUCGCACGGGUUUGCGACUAGUAGUAAAAAAUAGGAGAACAUGAAUAUAAAACCGCUAUGCCACUGUUUUAAUCCCCAUGUUAAAUAGAGGGCUACUGAGCUUGGAGUGAGUCACUGAUUUAAAUAGGGACCUCCACAGUGCAGGUCGGAACUAUGUUGUGUUGACACAUAGUUAAUUAUGUGUAUGACACAAUCAAUACUUGAUUGUCCCCUGCAUACCUGCCUUCAUUACUGUAUUGCUAUAAUAAUGUUUUUGUUUUACUGUAUGAAGCAUAUGAAACUCUUGAGAACGAUAUGCAAAAGGGUGAUGCUCUAGUUAAAUUGUUAUUAG